rnacentral:rRNA from 1 species
UACAGAGGUCUCAAGCGUUGUUCGGAUUCAUUGGGCGUAAAGGGCGCGCAGGCGGCUGCUCAAGUCAGGCGUGAAAGGCCUGGGCUCAACCCGGGAAUUGCGCUUGAGACUGGGCUGGCCUGAGUGCGGGAGAGGAUGGUGGAAUUCCCAGUGUAGAGGUGAAAUUCGUAGAUAUUGGGAAGAACACCGGUGGCGAAGGCGGCCAUCUGGACCGCAACUGACGCUGAGGCGCGAAAGCGUGGGGAGCAAACAGG